UAGUGUGAUAUAAGAGAUUAAUAAGAAACCCAGUACUAUAAGCCCAUAAGGAAAACCAGUUGAUCAAAGAAACGUGACGAAGGGGAGUUAAUGAAACGUGACGAAGAGAGUUGAUGCGUUUCUGGAGGAGAUCACAGAGAACUGAGCGCGGGAUCAGACGCAAGGAGCCACAACUGCAUGAGCGCUGAGGAGGAUGCAUGAUUAGAGUCUCGCAAACUCAAGAUUUUGUCUUUGAUUUGUCGAUCAAUGGUAUGGAGAAGGGAGGAAAUAUAGCGAUAUGAGUGACGGUGUAGUCUAGCGUUUCUUUCUGUCCAGACCCAAUAGAUUACAGCCUGCCAACAAAGAAGAAGGAGCCUGCGAUUGUCCCUAUUGCCUGUAAUUGCUUGCAUCUGAUUCAGACAUAAGUCCCACUGUCUGUGAGAAGUUAAGCCUAGUCUUGUUGCCAUUGUGUGGCACAGGUCCCAGGCGUAAGAGCAUUCGAAUUACAGAUGGUCACGGCUCUCCUGCGGAGCACCACAAAGGAGACAUGAUUCAUCUGUCUGAAGUCCCCAUUGACGCAAAUGAUCCCUCGUCGGACAUCGAUUUAAAGAGAAUAGCCAUACAAGAAAGCUGUGCUUCGGAAUCCCAUAGCUAAUCCAGACGGCUUUAGUCCAAGGUUGUUCCUGAAACUCUCCUCGUAGUUUUUUUUAGACAACACCCGUAGAGUAUUUACCACUUAUGACACCAUCAAUUUCCCACUCAUAGUAGUCCUCUGCAGUUGAGAAAUUAACUGAAGAGAGGAACGCAAGAAUGCGCACCUGGUUCUCAGAACGAGCAGGAGGCAGUGACCAAGAUCCAUCAUUAUACAAGCUUGCUAGUGUUGCAUCUUUCCUGAUUCCAAGUCUUGAGCUCCUUCCUUCCGUUGCUAGUUGAAGAAUCCUCCCUUCUGGGUACCAGUUGUCAGUCCAGAACAUGCAGUUUCGACCAUUCUCAAUCCUGAGCUUGAUCCAGGAAGGACCAUUUGUUGUAGAGCUCUUUUUCAUUCUCAAAGUUGACAGGAUUUGGAGACUCCAAAGCAAGUACCUGCGCAUCUAGAAACAAAACUAGAGAUCCCCAAGGUUCAAGGCUGUAUUUCCGGCUUGGUUCCAGGCCUCCAAUACCACUUGAGUGAAAAGGGGGUGCUUAGUAAGAUAGUUAAAGAACUUGAAGGGUUUUGUUC